rnacentral:rRNA from 1 species
UACGUAGGGGGCAAGCGUUGUCCGGAUUUAUUGGGCGUAAAGAGCGUGUAGGCGGUUUGGUAGGUCCGCUGUGAAAACUCGAGGCUCAACCUCGAGACGCCGGUGGAAACCAUCAGACUAGAGUCCGGAAGAGGAGAGUGGAAUUCCUGGUGUAGCGGUGAAAUGCGCAGAUAUCGGGAGGAACACCGGUGGCGAAGGCGGUUCUCUGGGCCUGACCUGACGCUGAGGAGCGAAAGCGUGGGGAGCGAACAGG